UAGAUGCUUCCACAUACGAUACACCAAAGCAAGAAAUGUAGGGGUCGAGAAAAAAUAAGAAGAAAGAAAGAAGAAACUAAUCAGGAUGAGAAGAACGGCAUUUAAUACCUGAUGUCCUCUUUAAAGCCAAGCUUGCUAUGGCCCAUGAAACGUUUUUUAGCUUGACUUUUUUGUCCUGUCAAAGAAGUAAAUAAAGGGUUCAAAGGCAAGGUAAUUAAAGCAGGCAGUCUCCGGAAAUAAUCCACAGCUUUUGAUCGACGGAGGAACACGAGAAAUGACAAACCUUCUUACUGGUAACUUCAUCAUCACUAUCUUCAUCUGAUGAUGAGGACUCGUCACCUAUUGCAUCGU
rnacentral:lncRNA from 1 species